UACGUAGGGGGCGAGCGUUGUCCGGAAUUAUUGGGCGUAAAGGGCACGCAGGCGGUUCGCCAAGUUCGAAGUGACAAUCAACGGCUUAACCGAUGAACGACUUCGAAAACUGGUGGACUUGAGAGCGAGAGAGGGACAUGGAACUCCGGGUGGAGCAGUGAAAUGCGUAGAGAUCCGGAAGAACACCAAGGCGAAGGCAGUGUCCUGGCUGGUUUCUGACGCUGAGGUGCGAAAGCCAGGGGAGCGAACGGG
rnacentral:rRNA from 1 species